UACGAAGGGUGCAAGCGUUGUCCGGAAUUAUUGGGCGUAAAGAGCUCGUAGGCGGUCUGUCGCGUCUGCUGUGAAAACUCAGGGCUUAACCCUGAGCUUGCAGUGGGUACGGGCAGACUAGAGUGCGGUAGGGGAGACUGGAAUUCCUGGUGUAGCGGUGAAAUGCGCAGAUAUCAGGAGGAACGCCGGUGGCGAAGGCGGGUCUCUGGGCCGUAACUGACGCUGAGGAGCGAAAGCAUGGGGAGCGAACAGG
rnacentral:rRNA from 1 species